UAAAGCCUCCAGCUAUUACUGUAUUAUUGUAAUUCUUCAUGUGCGAAGAAAAGCUCAUGGUGAAACAGAUCUUAAACACGGGCAGAGGAAACUCACACUAGCUCUCCAAAGGAAUCAACUUAUUUAUUCCUUCUUAAAGAAAAUAGCCCAUAAAGGAUAUCUUGAUAUGAGAGAGAAACCAGCAGUAAGAAAACACACACACACACACACACAUACACACACACACACAAAAGAGAAAGAAAGAAAGCUGAUGAAAGAACAAAAAUGAAGAUACUUUAAGGAAAAAAAGAAAAUAAAAAGAAGAGAGCUGAUAAAAGAACACAAUGAAGAUAUUACAAGGAAUAAAAAGAAAAGAAAGAAAAGGAAAGGAAAAGAUAAAAAGAAAGAUGACAGAGGAAAUAAAGCCAAACCUUUAAUUAAUAGUAGGUCAAAUUACCCUGGGAGGUAAACAAAACAAAACUCUGAGCUGGGGACUUUGGCGAAGGUGAUUCUUUGAUGAAUGCUUAAAUUGGGUACUCUGGUGUGCCACCCAGACACAUGAUCAGGACCCAGACACUAAUAUCCCAGUUGCCUGAAGCAUUGCCUGUAGGCAGCUCAAAGCUGAGUCCCUCUCCAAGAAUUUUCCAUGACCAAAGAAUCCUGCCUUUUAAAAAUACAUACUCUAUCUUUGCGGAUGCCCUUAUCUAUGCUCGGCCAUAAAUGCAUGCCCCACCCUUGCCUAAAUUCAGGCUAUCUCUAAGCUUUGGCAAUCUCUAGGAAGUAAGCUAUUGCAAGUGCACCACGUUUCAAUUUGGGCAUAGUUUUCUCUCUGUCCAAUACUUUUUCCUUCAUUCGCCGACAGGUAUUCCUAAGACCACUCCCUUAUGGGGAUCUUGUAUGCAAAUCUUUAUCACUGAGUCCGCCUGUUGGUGUUAGAAGAGGUCUGAGAAAACAGACCUAAAAGAGGACUCUAGAGCUGGAUCACCAGCUGUUCAGUGGACACGGAAAACCUUAUCACUAAUGCUUCCGGACUUAUAAUGUGGGAGUUAUGUUCCAAGACUCAGAUGGAGAAGUUCUGGGCCUGUUAAGGGAGAAAAGAGACUGUAUCCUGAAGACAUAGGAAAAUGAACGAGGCACAUUAACUCAAAGAUUUUGGACUUAUAUCUGCGCAGAAUUAUUGUUAUCUCCUUGAGAAUAUAAGACUGCAUGGUAAGUUCCAGAUGGGAUUCCUCUGAAGUCCAGGUAAAUGAACUCAAGCGUAUCCUUCAUCCCAGUUCUGUGAUGAAAGCCUGCUGUUCCUUGGGAAGGCAAGAGGAGGAAUUUGAAUGGCAUCUUUGUUGGUGGAAGAGAGGGGAUGAUAAGAGUGCUUGUACAUGAUUCUUUGUAAGUUAUCUCCCUGCUACCUUUCUUUUUCUAAAACAUCCUAUAUAGAACUACAAGAUUAAUCUUUGCAAACACAGUUCAGAUCAUUUUUUUUUUCUGUUCAAAAUCUUCAGCAAGUCAGAGCUGGCUGAAUAAACUUUUAACUCACAGAAUUAAGACAGACUUUGAGUUGAUUAUCAUUAGGGAUCUAUUCAUCCCACCAAUUAUUUAGCACAUGUGUUUAUCUAAACUUGUGUUUAUCCCAUUGUCUGACUUCCUCUGGAACACACAGAGGGGCAGGAAACUUACUACCAAUUCCAUGUACUGUUCUGUUUCUCAUAACGUCCUCACAUUUAUUAAAAAAUCUGUCACCUUGCUGCUGCUGGAGAGCCACACAAAAUAAAUCAUAUUCCUGUCUAUGUAUGAGAGAUCAAUAUCUUGGACAUCAUAGAUCUUCUAAAUCUCAUCUCUCCUUUAAAUUUAGACAUUUCUCCAGCCAAUUUUUCUCCUGCAGUCCUUACCCAAGCUUCAAGUCUCCCUCUAAGAAAGCUCUCUUCGUAAUCCUCGCCCCCAGUCUCUUCUCCUAGAGAGAUGUAAUUUCUUUCCUGUCCUCACCUAAUGAGUAUGGUACUCCAUUUUAGGGACCUCUUCCUAUGCUUAUUACUUUCUACCUAUAUUUAUAGAAACAUUUUACAAAACAUUUCCAUGCCACAAUAUUCUCACAAGUUGUCAAUAGCAGUUAGUUGCAGGGAGUGGGGGUGGGGGAUAGCCCAUAAAACAACAUACAUUUAUUU
rnacentral:lncRNA from 1 species